GCUCGACCUCAAAUCAGGUAGGAAUACCCGCUGAACUUAAGCAUAUCAAUAAGCGGAGGAAAAGAAACCAACAGGGAUUGCCUCAGUAGCGGCGAGUGAAGCGGCAAGAGCUCAGAUUUGAAAUCGUGCUUUGCGGCACGAGUUGUAGAUUGCAGGUUGGAGUCUGUGUGGAAGGCGGUGUCCAAGUCCCUUGGAACAGGGCGCCCAGGAGGGUGAGAGCCCCGUGGGAUGCCGGCGGAAGCAGUGAGGCCCUUCUGACGAGUCGAGUUGUUGGA
rnacentral:rRNA from 1 species